rnacentral:rRNA from 1 species
GACAGAGGAUGCAAGCGUUAUCCGGAAUGAUUGGGCGUAAAGCGUCUGUAGGUGGCUUUGUAAGUUAGAGGUGAAAGCCUGGAGCUCAACUCCGAGAAUUGCCUUUGAUACUGCAUGGCUUGAAUCCAGGAGAGGUGAGUGGAAUUCCGAGUGUAGAGGUGAAAUUCGUAGAUAUUCGGAAGAACACCAGUGGCGAAGGCGGCUCACUGGACUGGUAUUGACGCUGAGGUGCGAAAGCGUGGGGAGCAAACAGG